AAUGCCGUACACCGGUGCCGG
rnacentral:misc_RNA from 1 species